rnacentral:rRNA from 1 species
AGUAGGGAAUCUUCCACAAUGGGUGCAAACCUGAUGGAGCAAUGCCGCGUGAAUGAAGAAGGUCUUCGGAUCGUAAAGUUCUGUUAUUAGAGAAGAACAAGUCAAGGAGUAACUGUCUUGACUUUGACGGUACCUAACCAGAAAGUCACGGCUAACUACGUGCCAGCAGCCGCGGUAAUACGUAGGUGACAAGCGUUGUCCGGAAUUAUUGGGCGUAAAGGGAGCGCAGGCGGUUGGAAUAGUCUGAUGUGAAAGCCCACGGCUUAACCGUGGAAGGUCAUUGGAAACUGUCCAACUUGAAUGCAGAAGAGGUAAGUGGAAUUCCAUGUGUAGCGGUGAAAUGCGUAGAUAUAUGGAGGAACACCAGUGGCGAAGGCGACUUACUGGUCUGUGAUUGACGCUGAGGCUCGAAAGCGUGGGUAGCGAACAGGAUUAGAUACCCUGGUAGUCCACGCCGUAAACGAUGAGUGCUAAGUGUUGGAGGGUUUCCGCCCUUCAGUGCUGGAGUUAACGCAUUAAGCACUCC